rnacentral:rRNA from 1 species
GGGGGCUGCUCCUAGUACGAGAGGACCGGAGUGGACGCAUCUCUGGUGUACCGGUUGUGACGCCAGUCGCAUCGCCGGGUAGCUAUAUGCGGAAGAGAUAAACGCUGAAAGCAUCUAAGCGUGAAACUCGCCUCAAGAUGAGACUUCCUUGGAGACUUGAUCUCCCUGAAGGGCCGUGGAAGACCACCACGUUGAUAGGUCGGGUGUGGAAGCGCAGUAAUGCGUUAAGCUAACCGAUACUAAUUACCCGUGAGGCUUGAUCCU